rnacentral:rRNA from 1 species
ACCCAUCAGAGGGGGAUAACACUUGGAAACAGGUGCUAAUACCGCAUAACAGUUUAUGCCGCAUGGCAUAAGAGUGAAAGGCGCUUUCGGGUGUCGCUGAUGGAUGGACCCGCGGUGCAUUAGCUAGUUGGUGAGGUAACGGCUCACCAAGGCCNCGAUGCAUAGCCGACCUGAGAGGGUGAUCGGCCACACUGGGACUGAGACACGGCCCAGACUCCUACGGGAGGCAGCAGUAGGGAAUCUUCGGCAAUGGACGAAAGUCUGACCGAGCANCGCCGCGU